GUCAAAGCUGUUGACGUUGACCAUAAUGGAACAAACAAACAGAGCGUCUGUCUCUGUUUUUGUCCUGUAAUCUGUCCUCAGGUCUGUGUUACCGGCAGAACGCUCACCCUCCUAUUGGUGCAGCAGGCGUCAGUGAGGCCUCUGCGAGUGAUCAACAUUCAUGCGGCCCGCCACACAAAACCUGGCAACGCCUCUGUUCCCACCAGCAGAGGGCAACAUUCACCAACUUACCUCUCUGCCAUCAUUCCCCCCCAUCCUCCCGUCCCGCUCCUCUCCGUCCCCAUCGACAGCCCCUCCCAUCGGAGACCAGAAGCUCUCCGGACCCCCCCCCCCCACCCAUCGUUGCCCUGGAGACGGCUCAGACGAGCAGGUGAUGCAUUGACAGGGAGCAGAUGGUUCCCUGUGGAGGUAAGCAUGGCUGAACAAUGCUUCCAUAUUCAUCAUAAACUCUUGCUAACUCUCUGCGUCUCCCUCCUCCUUCAGCGACAAGCGCACACAUAACUUCAAAGUUGAAUGGCUCCCGCUUUCACGACACACGCUGGUAUUUGAGCGUGCUGCCUUUUUCCGGGCCGCUAAUUGAAACCGCCGCCGGGCCGAUGAGUCUGUGAGGGCGGCGGGGCGCGCGCGGCUGAGCGAGGUGAUGAUGUUGUGACAGGCUAUUGUCGAAGGGCUGGUGACGAACAGCAGCUCCUGCAUUCAGGAGAGCUGCUUCGGCCGCGCGUCCGACGGGAGACGAGUAAAGAGUUUCCCUGCACUUGUCUCCUGCAGGUGUUUUCAGGCUUUUCGCCGCAGUAACUCAGUCCUCCAAAGAAGCCUCUGUCUCCCCUGGAGAUAAAGUACAGACACCCCACUCUCCCUGUCCCUUUUCUUUCAGCUAACUCUGAAUAAUCCAGCAACAAUGCAGAGCUCUGGGGCGGUGUGCAGCGAUUCGCCGGAGGCCUGACUUGUUUUGAGGUGCGGUGGGGGGUGGGGGCAGGGGAGCGGCAUUAUGGAGAUCAGCUAAUGCAUGUAAAACACUGCAUCCAUCUCUCUUUUUUAUUGGAACAAGUGCUAAAGAAAAAGUGUGCGGCACAAUAGGGUCUGUGGAGCGCUACGCUUAACCCACCACACCUGGAGCACACAACGGGGGGUGAGAGUGAGUGGCAGCCCCCCCCAUCCUUUGCCUCAGCCAUCAUCACCAGCGCUGCAGCACCUAUCAAUACGGGCUGUAAGGAGCUUGGGGGGGGGGCUCCCUGUAUUCACGGCCUGACUAUGAUAAAGACGCACAGUGAGGAGCCAUUCAAGAGCCCUGUGCCCAUAAUAGAGUCACUAAUAGGUGCCUAUUCAGCAAGGAAAGUGUUUUCUGGAGGAGAAAAAAAAGUUUUGGGGAAGCAACAAUCACUCUGCUGCCUUGUGUAUGUAAAAUUUAUGCAGUGCUCCACCCUCCGCUCUUUUCCAACUCUCGCUGCUGCCUUUUUUCCUUCUUUACUCUAAAGAGCGUCGCCGCUGAAUAGACUACAUGCAUGGUUUGGAGUCUUCCUUUCAUCCUUUCUCGGGCAUAAAUUGAAUGGUCUGUUCUCAAGUGAGUCCAGUCCAGCGGCAGGAACACACUCAACGUCUUUUUCAUCUCCUUUUACCCACUUUUCCACCUAAAAUUGUGAUCACAGGUGAACAGCUCUCACUUUAUGACUCAGUUUUUCCUGUUUCCUGUCACAUGCGUGAGCAAAGCAAUGGAAGCAGUACAGACAGGACAUCUGCAUUUCUGUUCCUAUUUCUAUACAAUUACACAUUAAGUGUGUAAAGAGUUUAUAAACAGAUAAUAUCUGGACUCCAAAUGUUUCUUAAAUGCAUCCAUCCCCAGAAAGUGGGAUGUGGACAAUCUGGGCUGUAGUAUAAGCUGGUCAAUGGUUUGAAUCUUUUCCAGUAGAUCUAGUUGAUGUCAGUGUCUGUACAGAAAUGUAUUCACAUCUCAUGCCACCGCCGCUGAUAGCUGCUAUGUUUGCUGCUAUAUUAGCCGCCCACCCCCUUGUCCUGGUCCCGAGGCACCAGGGGAGAAGACCUUUUGGGUGAGCUGACUAAUCUUGAAAUGCUGGAACCAUAUUGAAAAAGAGGGCAUGAACUGAGAAGUUCUGGGAGCAUAUUGUGCUGCGUGUCAAAGGGCUUAGCUGACAGAUUGAUGAGAUGAGGAAAUAACGGAGCUAACCGGGGGGGCGGGGGGGAGAAGGGGGGUCGUUGGUGGUCGGAGAUCUCAGCAUGGCACGGCAACCGCGGGCUGGAGUCAGAGCAGCGGUCCCCCCAGGCCCACCGGGCAGAGCCGGCACAGGUCAGCACCCUUUGAUUCUGGGUCCCGCAGCUGACAAAAGGCAGCACGCAGUGGGCAGGGCCGCGCUCCUUAGAACAGCAUGAAAGCCCUUGUAAUGGUAUUUUUAUGUGAUUUCUAAAAGGCUUUGUCAGCUUUUCACUGCUGAUGUAUGUGUUUAUUUGUGUGUGAGCAUCUCCACCGUUGUCAUCCAAGUUAGUCUGAGGGAGCCAAAAGCUGCUUUCCUCAGUAUUUUACACUUAAAGGUGCUGCCUGUAGUGACGAACUGUCAGAAGGAUCAGGUGUGUGUGUCUUCUCUUUGUUAGCCUCUCAGAGCCAGCCUCCGGGACACUGCUGCCAACUGAGACUAGUUCAGCAUUUAGCAGCCAGAAGUGGGUGAAACCAGAAACAGAUCUGGUUUAGAUCCAUUUGGAUUUAGAAUCUAAGCCAAACUCUCAGCUAUGAAGGUAGAAACAAUGCUUGAAACUUAAACCAGUUCCAAGCUACAAAAAAAACGCCAUUUUCACUGACCCCCCCCCCCCCAUUUAACGCAUUUUCCUCCAGUGUCUUAGCAACUGUUGAUGGGGCAUCUGGAUUUCCCACAGUGCACUGCAGAGCCCCCGCAGUGAGACCUCAACCAGCGGCUUGAGGAAGGGAGAUGCAAAGGAGAGGUCCGGAUCGUGCAGUGGUGGUGGUAGUGAGUUUUCUCAAGCUUUUUUGUGUCUCGGUUUUAGAGUAUUGAAAUAAUCAGUCACGUCAUUAGAGUCUGUGGAGUCUGUGACAGGAUCAAAGAUCAAAUAAAUGUUUAAAGGUGUUUUUUUGCA
rnacentral:lncRNA from 1 species